CCACCCAUGCAUCAAUAGACAGACAGUCCACUGUUGCCGCCAGCUCAUCACCAAGACCCAGCUCAAGACUUACCCACGUAUUUUCUCAUAACAUAUACUCCUUCCUUCCCAGAAUGGCACGUCUAUCAAUCGCAGUUACUAAGCUUCAUAGACAAACAUUUGGACCAUAUUUGUAAAUAAGCAUGCUGCAAUUAAUUAAUGAUACAAUGUCCAAAAACUGCAGCUACUAAUCUACAUAUGGCAUCCAUUGGAUGAUAUUUCUACUAACAUGCAUAAACAAUUACUCCCUCCGUUUCUAAAUAUAAGUCUUUUUAGAAAUUUCACUAGAGGACUACUAACGAAACGAAAUGAGUGAAUCUAUAUUUUAAAAUAUGUCUAUAUACAUUUGUUUAGUUUUCUAGUGGAACCUCUAAAAAGACUUACACUCCUCAACCUAACCAAGAUUUCAUCNNNN
rnacentral:lncRNA from 1 species